UACGUAGGGUGCAAGCGUUGUCCGGAAUUAUUGGGCGUAAAGAGCUCGUAGGCGGUCUGUCGCGUCUGCUGUGAAAACCUGGGGCUUAACCCCGAGCCUGCAGUGGAUACGGGCAGACUAGAGGUAGGUAGGGGAGAAUGGAAUUCCCGGUGUAGCGGUGAAAUGCGCAGAUAUCUGGAGGAACACCGGUGGCGAAGGCGGCAUCCUGGACCAACACUGACGCUGAGUGAGCGAAAGCCAGGGGAGCAAACGGG
rnacentral:rRNA from 1 species